UUUGGAUCCUUUGGCUUUCUUUCACUUGCAAAGACAAGGCUGCUGUCAGUGAUUCCUCGGAUGACAAGAGAUCAGUUAAGGAGAAAGAAGACUGUUAAUCCAAGAUGGAAUAGGCCCACCCUAAUUGAAGAAUGGUGAACAAGAAUCUGGUCAAUGAAUUAUAACCUCAUUUUUAAAUUCAUUCAUCCGUUUGACAAUUAAUUGUGAUGGCAUCUUACAUAAUCAUCAGAGGCUUUCCCUGCAAAGUGCAUGAAGGUAAAUGAACCUCUACUUCAGGCUUGACAUCCGUCUUUGGCUCAUUGUUGAAGAAUACAUUAUAAUGAAAGCAACAUACAGGAUGCCUGAUCACUCAAGUUUGGUGAGGAAGCAAGCAAGAUUAAUAACACUGCUGUGUAAUGAAAUAAUUUUCCAAUUUGAAACACUGUGUCCUUUACUCUUGAAAGAGCUCUUUAAUCCUGUGGAUUUACACAUAGUUUAUUUUCAUUUUUGUGAUUAGAAAAAAAUAGUAAAUUCUCACUUGAGUAUGAUUUCUAACUUUAGUAAAAGCAGAGAGGAGGGCUUAAUAAAAAUUCUUGUUCCUGA